AUUGAACGCUGGCGGCAUGCUUUACACAUGCAAGUCGAACGGCAGCACGGGGGCAACCCUGGUGGCGAGUGGCGAACGGGUGAGUAACACAUCGGAACGUGUCCAGUUGUGGGGGAUAACCCAUCGAAAGGUGGGCUAAUACCGCAUGAGCUGGCAACAGGAAAGCGGGGGACCCGCAAGGGCCUUGUGCGAUUGGAGCGGCCGAUGUCCGAUUAGCUAGUUGGUGGGGUAAAGGCCUACCAAGGCUUCGAUCGGUAGCUGGUCUGAGAGGAUGAUCAGCCACACUGGGACUGAGACACGGCCCAGACUCCUACGGGAGCAGCAGUGGGGAAUUUUGGACAAUGGGGGCAACCCUGAUCCAGCCAUGCCGCGUGAGUGAAGAAGGCCUGGU
rnacentral:rRNA from 1 species